UACGUAGGGGGCAAGCGUUGUCCGGAUUUAUUGGGCGUAAAGCGCUCGCAGGCGGUCCGAUGCGUCGUGUGUGAAAGACCCCGGCUCAACUGGGGGAGGUCGUGCGAUACGGUCGGACUCGAGGCCAGUAGGGGGAUGCGGAAUUCCGGGUGUAGUGGUGGAAUGCGUAGAGAUCCGGAAGAACACCGGUGGCGAAGGCGGUUGGCUGGGCCACAACUGACACUGAUGCGCGACAGCGUGGGGAGCAAACAGG
rnacentral:rRNA from 1 species